CUUAGAUGCCCCAUUCCUCUGUCCUCCACAAGGCGAUGGGCAGGACAGUCCAGGCCUUGCUAUGACUUCAUAAAGAGCACACAGGACUUGGAGCCAAAUGAACCUGGUUGCAGUGAGAGGUUUCAGCCCCCAUCAGCCAAAUGCUCUUGAGCAGGCCUCAUCUGGAAAAUAAUGACUGUGUCUCAAAGGAUGACGAAGAGGAAUAAAUGAGCAAUGUGUUUCAAUGAGACAGUAUCGGGCAGGUGCAGAGGAUCCAGCAUGUUAUUCUGAAACCCCAGAAGACGCUGCAGCUACCAAAUAGAAGGAGCCUGGAUCCCUGAAUGUCUUCAUGGAACAGAACAUUCUCCUCACUCCAGUCUGUUUGAACCAGAAUAUGACCUGAGCAAGAAAUAAGCCUUAAUUAUAUUUGACCAUAGAAUUCUGGUGAUAUUUCUAUGGCUGUAAGUCCAUGUUGAUUAAUACAAAGGGAUGCUGUAAAGCCUCUUCUAUUAAAAAAAGUUGCCCAAGGAGUGAAAGGAGAGAUAUUUUCUGUAAUUAAGAUUUUCAUAAUACAUAGAACAGGCUAUAGCACCUGGCAAUCAAUCAUAUGGGGUACAACAGAAAGAGGAAACAUUCCUGCUAUUAAAUUAACCAAACUGGAGUUCUUGUUAUAUAAUAUAGUAAAAUUUCCUCAAUCUUUCAGCCACCUUUAGUUCUGUAAUCUAUUAUUUCUGGGUAAAAGCAUACCAUUUGAUACACAAUCCAAACCCAAUUCUUAAUUAAUAACGUGUAUCCACUGUAUCUUACCACAUCCCAAAUCAUCUAAUACUUAACCACCUAGUUUCUAUGUUCCACUUACAUCAAACAUAUUCAUGUUUGGAAAAUUGAGCCAGCAUCUACUGCCUUAUCAGCUGAUGCAUAACAAUUUACUUUGUCUGUGCUCUAUAAUAAUGCAAGUCUGCUUGGAAAGAUAACACGUUAAAGGGUUAUCAGACCCUAACACCUUCGUAUAGAUGAAUUUAUCAGAUCCUCUGCUAAACCACUUUCGAAUCCUUGGCCAGUUCUCUACAUUUCAUGAAGAGUUAGCAUAGCCAGUCCAGGAGAUAUUAUCUUCAGGAUGUGGUCAGUUGUGGAAAGGAAGAUAGCUCUGAGGAUCUCUUUCCAGGGAAAAGAAAGACAUGAGGAUUGCUCCAAAGAUCCUCUUUCUGGGGGAAAACGCACAUACUACAG
rnacentral:lncRNA from 10 species